rnacentral:rRNA from 1 species
GAGUUUGAUCCUGGCUCAGAUUGAACGCUGGCGGCAUGCCUUACACAUGCAAGUCGAACGGCAGCAUGAUCUAGCUUGCUAGAUUGAUGGCGAGUGGCGAACGGGUGAGUAAUACAUCGGAACGUGCCCUGUAGUGGGGAUAACUAGUCGAAAGAUUAGCUAAUACCGCAUACGACCUGAGGGUGAAAGUGGGGGACCGCAAGGCCUCAUGCUAUAGGAGCGGCCGAUGUCUGAUUAGCUAGUUGGUGGGGUAAAGGCCCGACCAAGGCGACGAUCAGUAGCUGGUCUGAGAGGACGAUCAGCCACACUGGGACUGAGACACGGCCCAGACUCCUACGGGAGGCAGCAGUGGGGAAUUUUGGACAAUGGGCGAAAGCCUGAUCCAGCAAUGCCGCGUGUGUGAAGAAGGCCUCGGUGUAAG